UGGCUCAGCGGUAAAGCACCUGCCUGCAGUGCAGGAGACCCAGGUUCGAUCCCUGG
rnacentral:tRNA from 1 species